rnacentral:rRNA from 1 species
UACGAAGGGGGCUAGCGUUGCUCGGAAUUACUGGGCGUAAAGGGCGCGUAGGCGGAUUGUCAAGUUGGGGGUGAAAUCCCGGGGCUCAACCUCGGAAUUGCCUUCAAAACUGAUGAUCUGGAGUAUGGUAGAGGUAAGUGGAACUCCGAGUGUAGAGGUGAAAUUCGUAGAUAUUCGGAAGAACACCAGUGGCGAAGGCGACGUACUGGACCAUUACUGACGCGGAGGAGCGAAAGCGUGGGGAGCAAACAGG